UGAGGGCCUAGAAAAGUUAUUGCACUCUAUUAAUCAUCGUUGAUGAAUCGACACAGGUGUCAGUGAUUUAUCAUCAUAAUUAUCAAUUUUUUAUGGCUCUUAUCGCUUAAUUUAUGCAUUCAACCUUCUUGCGCAAUGUGAAACGCUCGAGAAUUCAUGGUUUUACCACAUAAUUUUUCUUUUGUCUAUACUCAUUAGUUUUGCUUUUUUAGGUCUUGAACAUGGAGAAUUACAGAUGUAUUUAUUACAAGAAUAAUUUUGCAGAAUCGGAUUGCAUUAUCUUGAAGAAUAAAUUCGAAUGAAUAGGUGAGGAAAUAUGUUCAUUCAACUGCAAAAUGUCUGAGAUAUAGACAAGUCCUAAUAAUUGUAAUCAUAGUUGCUCGACGAACCGCAGGCCAAGCAGGUAAGCGUGUGGUCGAUUAAGAGAGUUAUACAUUGCUCAAUUUUCUUGUUCCUCAAGUGCAAAAAAAAAUCGGUAAUUAUCUCACUUUUCUACGUCCGUAUUGUCAAGCAUUCUUGGGGGGAUAAAUGCAGCAAACCAAAUCAUAAUUCAGCGAAAAUAAUCAGCAAGGUAAUAAAAACCAGAGGCAGAGAUGUUAAGAAUUUUUAGGAAGGGAAGAGUGACAGAUAUAUCCAGCAAUUUCGUGCUGUGGUCAACGAGGAUGGACAAACAAAGAAGACAAAGUGGUAAGUUAUAACAAAACAUCAUGCAGACGACAAAAAAUAUUCUGUAAUGAAGGAAAUAAAACUGACGAUUUUAUACUUGUUAUUACGUAGAUAUUUGUGGAGCUAUAAAUUUACAGGAAAAAACAAUAAAAUAUUUGCUGUAAUUUACGAAAAAGUCCCUUGAAAUUUACAGGAAAUGUUUCCUACUUAAUUUGAGAAUCUACUUCACUUUGAAAUGAUCGAAGUGUAGAAACCAAAGAAAUAAUAUUUUCCAAAUCAGCUAAUGUUUCAUAAUCUAGGAAACUAAUGGGAUCUUCGGUCUGAUGACAUUUUGUCCAUUUCUACUUGAAGUUAUCGUCCCAGAAUUCAUUCAACAUUCUCUUAAGCACUCAUUCCAAGAAAGUGCCAACCCAAAGAGCAAUGAAAUUGUGAAAUAACUUUGCAUUUUUCAAAUCUUCGAGUGUAGUUUAUUUAUUUAUAACGACUUAUGGAUUUUGUCGCCCAUAUAUUUUGAUAAGACAUGCAGGAAAUCCUGUAGACAUAUUAAAAAAAAUAUCGAUUCAAUAAUUUGUGUCAAGAAGAAUCUCAGCAAAUUAAAUUUAUCGAAAAAAAACUGAUUCUUCAAAAAAUCCGAUUGCUUAUAAAGAAAAAUAGAUCACUUCACAUUUUCAUUACUUGCGAUUCCGCAGCGAAAGGGUAAAACCAUUUACAACAACAAUUUUGCUACCAGCCUUGGAUUCCGACACAUUCAUGGAAGUGCAACCAAUAGUCAAAAUCGACUUAAAACUGUUUACCAUUUUGCUGCUGAAUACAAAGAAAAAAAUCAAUUCACCAACAGGAGAUACUACCUCACUACAGGAGACUGGAGAAUGCUACUAGAAGUAAUCCUAUCGUAGGCGAAGCUUCACUGCAUUCCAUUAUAAUAAACUAAAAAAUGAAGCGUCAAAGCAAAUGAUAAUAAAAGAAGCAUAACUUACGAUAGACUGACGGACGCGAGAAGGGGCCAUUUUCGGAUUGAACAGCCGGGGUUGGAGUCGAACGCACGCUCGCCUGCGCUCCAGUUCAGACAUUUCGCUAGUGGUUGAGUAGUCAGUCGGUAUUUUUAAUUUUUGUUAAAUACAAAAUUAUUGUAAUUUCUCAAAAUUUAAUCUAAUUGACGAGUCAGUUGGAUUAAAUUCCGUUGUCAAAGUCACUGUUGGGGAGUAGGAUUAAUUUUUUAAUGUGAAAAAUGAGUAGCUACGUUAAAUUGAAGGAGCCAGGCAAGAUUUACCCAUGGAGUUUUUAGUUGUCAUUCAUUCUAGAGAUAUUCCCUUCAAAAUUUCACUCAAUAAAAAUAAAUGGCUGUGCAAAACCAUUUCAUUACCUUCUUUUGAGUGAAUUCAUCCAGAAAAUACUCCAAGAACUUGCAGUGCAGUGGAGUGAUGAAGGGGAAUUAAUUAAUUAUAAUUUCAGGAUGAGUCUUUCCACGAAUUUUUGCUACAUCUACUUCACUAUGUAUCAUUUUCCUACGAAAAUUCCGUCAAAUUCUUGACAAAUAUUUUUAAAUUCAAUAGAUAACAACGAAUUUUCGUUCAAACGUCCCUCAUAAAUCUCGAUUUAUUCUACAAAAAAAAAUGUUAACAAGUCUCCUGACAAUUCUUUCAUGAAAAUCUUCUCAUCCACCUAAAUAAACAAAGUUCGUAAGCAAAAUUCUUUUCCACCCAAUUUACUUUGCAAAAAUUACCAAGCACGUCCCAAAAAAAUUUAUAAUGAAUCCUCAUCAUGAAAUUACAUGACCCCGUUCCCCUUCUCCACCCUCCUCUUCCCCUUCAAAAACAUCCCUCUACAAAAACAUCUACACAGAGCAACAUCGAAAUAGCUCUCCAGGGUAUAAUUAAAAUUAGCUGCCCCUCAGUCCAGCCCUUCCAAUAAAUGUUAUUAAUCCAAAGAAAUCAACAAGUAGAAACCCGUCUAGAUGUAGAAUGGCCUUCUUAAAAAAAUGUUAAUCUCCACAUGUUAAAGUAACAUUGAACACAGGAGAGCGUAGUCCAGAGUCAGGCCCUAGGUCCCUUCAUACUCUGGUACAUCGAUCCCUCAUUCCCUAGUCCCAUUAUCGACAACUGUACUUUGAUUUCCCUCAAUACUAUCAUUAAUGAUCGAUGAAUGUUUUACUUCAUCCAGGCAGUCCAAAAGUGUUGUUUAGCUGGUCGUACCUUGCCGGUAGUGUCAGUAUCAACCGAGGCCCUUGCUAAACUGUGCGAUCGUCUUGCUGGUGCAACUGGUCGUCUCGGUACAGUACCACUUUUCAUAAUCAUUCCCUGAUGAUUAAUUCCCUGAUAAUUGUGAUUAAGCCCUUGAUAAUGAUGAUUAUUCGUUUCUAAGGAAUCUCUGGCACGUGAUAGUGAUGAUUUGUUGAGUGAAUCACGACUUGAAUUAUUCCUGGGUAAUGAUUUACUCAGGGAUUCUCUACUCGUAUCCUUGCCAGUCUUUGGGAGGCUUUUGCUCAGUGAUUCACGACUCGAGUCACGAUUUUUCGUCAAUGAUGAUUUUGUUCUGUCAUUAUUACUCUCACGACUAGAGUCCCUCGUAGGUUUUGUUAAUGAUUUCAGGGAUGUCUUUAGGGAUUCACGACUGUCACUUUUUGUGGGGGGUCUUGGUGCUGUUGGCUUGGUACCCGGUAGGGGAAUUCUACUUGGUGGACGUCGUCGGGGGGAGGGCUUCACUUCCACAAUUUGAUGGUGAUCUCGAGCCGAUUCUGUACUGCUUCCUGGCUCUAGACAGCUUGGCUCACAUCUGGGUUCCACUUCCGAGGAAUCAGGAUCGUUCAGUGGCUCCGUGGAGGGACGCUGUUGCUGCUUCUCCAGAACACGGACUCGAGCGCGGGUACCCUCCAACUCGAUGUUUCUUUCCUCCAGCUGGAAAAAUUAUAGAGAGUUAGGGGGAGACUUUCAGAGGGCUCUGGGGGAGAAUUAAAGAUGUGUAAAGUGUGUGAGUGCGGUGAGGAAAAAAGUAGGCGAGUAAUGACUGUUAUUUUACGCUCAUAAAUUUGUAAUAUGACGAGGAAAUAAAUACCUGGUAUCGCAAUUCGUCGUUCUCCUCUCGAACCUUGUCCAGACGAUCUGAUAGGGUUUCUGUACUCUUCUUCACUUCGUCUAGUCGGUUUUGCAGGCACUGAAAAUUCCAGAUUUAAUUAGAAGUGAAAUUGAUGGGUCUAAGAAACAUAAUUGUAGUUAUAGUGAAGUAACGAAGUCAAACCCUGCUCAUGUACCUGAUUAUGGACGGUAGUAGUGAUAAGAUGUCUCUGCAGUUCCAGAGGCGAGCGUUCCCUGAGAAUCGCAGCGAUUUUUCCGGAAUCAACGUUCUUAAUAUGAGCUAUCCUAGUAGGAGACACGAGAACCGAAUCCAGUGCACCCAGUCUGAUUCUCCUGGCAUGAGCAGCAGCCUCAGGAUCGACAUCCUCACCCCCCGGCAGAACAGCCCCAUUUGCAAGAACAUUCUUCUCAAUGGUCCUCGUUCUGAAGCGAUUCUUAUGCGCCUUGGAGCCCACCGAGGCAAACGCCGAAGAUUUACUUCUAAUAUUAACCGAAUGUUUGGGGGAAGUGAGUGGAGAAGAUGAGACAAUACCCACAGGUUUUCUCUGCACCGAAGGCACCACGAUCUCCGAGUCCCCUUCGAGGCCAGCACGGAGUCUAUCCUCAAGUCCACUCUUGAUAGCUGAUAGAGCAGCAAGUUCUAGUUGAAGUUCUUGUGCCCUUGUCCUACUGGAGAUCGUCUCGGCUUCCAAUUCUGCAACCUUAUCGAGCAAUUGUUCCUUCUCUCGUUUGAGAAGUGUCACUUCGUGAUCAUUCUCGUAGAGAUCGUCUCUGGAUAAUUCACCAGGGUUAUCAGUCACCUUUUUCACAGCCUCCAAAACAUCA